GACGAACGCUGGCGGCGUGCUUAACACAUGCAAGUCGAACGGAAAGGCCUCUUUCGGGGGGUACUCGAGUGGCGAACGGGUGAGUAACACGUGAGUAACCUGCCCUUGACUUUGGGAUAACUUCAGGAAACUGGGGCUAAUACCGGAUAGGAGCUCCUGCUGCAUGGUGGGGGUUGGAAAGUUUCGGCGGUUGGGGAUGGACUCGCGGCUUAUCAGCUUGUUGGUGGGGUAGUGGCUUACCAAGGCUUUGACGGGUAGCCGGCCGUAGAGGGUGACCGGCCACAGUGGGACUGAGAUACGGCCCAGAAUCCUACGGGAGGCAGCAGGGGGGAAUAUUGCACAAUGGGUGGAAGCCUGAUGCAGCAACGCCGUGUGCGGGAUGACGGCCUUCGGGUUGUAAACCGCUUUCGCUCAUGACGAAGCUUUGUGUGACGGUAGUGGGUAAAGAAGCACCGGCUAACUACGUG
rnacentral:rRNA from 1 species